ACCUCAACUUUAUCUACCUACCUAUCUACCUACAUACAAAAGUAUGUGGACACCCCUUCAAAUUAGUGGAUUCGGCUAUUUCAGAUUAUUCUACCACUUGGCACUGUGCUUACGCAUGCUGUGCAUAAAUUCACACACACUGUCAAGCAAACGUUCAUAUGUGCACUUUGCAUGGAAAUGAUCCCACGCAUGGUUUAUGCACACAUUUGUGCCUACGCACGGUUGAUAAAUGAGGCCCCUGGGCUCUCCAACGCUGUUCCUGGAAAGCUACUGUUCUGUAGAUUUUCACUCCAACCCUCCUAAUCUAGCGCACCUGAUUCUAAUAACUGGGAUUGGAUGGAAAACCUGCAGAACGGUAGCUCUCCAGGAACAGGGUUGGAGAGCCCUAAAAUAGACUCAUUUUGAAUGAACGACGGCACCAUUUCACUUGAGUCCCUUUUCUGAAACCAAUUUCAUCAAAUAGUAUUUAUGUAGCCAACCAUUUUAACAGCAAUAUUUGUCACAACGUAUUUUACAUUUACCCAGCCUUGACCCCCUAAAUAGCAUUCAGCAGCACAAAGCCUCCGUCAGUCCGUCUAGACUUUUAAUUGGUUGUUUUUGUAGCAUCCCAGACAGUUGUGGAAUGUUGUGUUCCCUUCAAUGUCAGAAAAUGAACAGUUUGAAUCCUGUCUUUUUAUGUGACUGCCUGCUAUCUGUGACAACCGGUGGAAUGUUGUCUUCCAUUCCAUGUCAUAAAACGAAAAGGUUGAAUCAGUCAUUGUAAGUGACUUCCUGCUUCUAUUUCAGCUGGAGCUGAAGAUCAUGUACAUAGAAAAGGGGACGGAUAAUGGGGCCAAUCCUAUGUUUCUUAUGGAGUUUAUGGAGAUAACAAAGCUCUGGAUGAGGCAUAGAGCAAAGAAGAAACGGACAAGAUAGGUGCCUCUAUGAAAGAGAAAUUGAAAGACUUGACUGAACAAAUAGAUCCAUCGCUGCACAAAGGAGAGCGUCAAGCUGCCAAAGCACUUCUCGCCCAAAUGAAAUACUUUGCGAGCAUUGAAGACAAGGUGAAGGAAAAACUUUUAGAGCUAAUGUAAACUUUGUUGACUUUGUUUUGAUACUUAUUGGGUCUUUUUAAAGCUGUUUUGAAAGUCUUCAAGAAUUCUAAUAAUACAAUUAGUAUUUAUUUAUUUAUUAUGUACAGUAUUUGUUAGUUUCAGGUAUACUAAUAAAUGUAAAAUAUUAAUAGG